rnacentral:lncRNA from 1 species
AUGAGACUAAUACAUAUGGCCACAUGUAUUAUUUUGUGUGACUAACGAGUAGUUUUUAUUAGUCACUUAGUGAAUGAAACAAAAAUAGUGACUAUAUGUAAUUUAUGAGAAUAGUUAAAGUUAUUAUGUGUGGCUAAAACUAAUUAACGGUCACGGUGAAACAUUCUAUGUGUGAUAUAUAAGAAAUUAAUAGUCACACUUAAUAUUUUUAUGUGGCUAAAAGUCUCCAAUGGUCCUCAGUUGGUUCUCUUUGUUGAUCUUCGUUCUUCCACUGCCUUCUUCUGUAUCCUAAUUUCUUUAUGACAUCAGCAUAGGGUUCAAGCUUUUCUAAAGCACGCAAACAGAUCUAGGGCGUGAUUUGGUUUGGCGAUAUCUCCACAACCGCUGGCGGUGCCUACAGUGACGGAUAACACAUUUUUAAAUUAGAAACUAAAUCAAGUUAUCUAGGGUUUCUUUCUUCUUUUCUAUACUUGUAACCACCGCAAAAGGUUCUAAUAAAUACAAUCUUAUUUUACAAUAUCAACAGUUCUCAUGAUCUACUCUGCUUCCUGUAUCUAUUCGCCGACUUGAAGGUGUUUUGUAAGCAACCAAACGUCUUCAUCUGUUCGAAGAAGAGUGGCAAAGGAAAAAAGGUAUGGAAAGGGGGAAAUAGUUCUGGAAGAGUAUUGGUAUUGGUAUUGGAUCUAACCUGAGAGAGGCUAUUAAAGAAAAAAAUAUGCACAAGUGGUUUGAAUGCGGCAGAAAGCUCUUAAGGUGCCAGGUGCUGUAGAGUUGUAUAACAAGGUUAUUAGUCAAACCAAUCCACAACCAAAACCUCAUAUAUGGGAUUUUGUUGUAUUUCCUUUCUCUUAUGCUGUUAUGCAACAACAUUGAGUUGAUGUUACACCAGUAGGAAAGUGGCGAGUCAGAUCAAUUGGGUAACGGGUCAUAGAUGUAUUUCAUAGCACAUGUUAAAUAAGCAAUUGUUAAUGAUUAAGAUAUUUGGACUUUUGUAUAGUUAUUAAGUUAAACUUCUAUAUUUUACUGGUUUUCGAAGACGAAAUAUCAUCUUUCUAGGGAAAAUCGUGUGCUCUCCUUCUGGUGCAAUGCUUGGAAAAACUUCUCUUGUUUAUUAUAAAGAGGAUGGGGAAGAAGAUCUGUUUGUAGGUUUACCAAAUGUGGCGAGGAUCAAGAGUAUGUGGAACAUUUGUUUGUGACAUGUGGUUUCGCUCAAACGGUAUGUAAUUUAGUAUCGCAAUGGUGUAAGCUCCCUCCAAUUUAUGCGUUCCAGGUAAGAGAUCUUCUUGAUUUGCAUCUGUACGUAGACGGGUCGGCGAAGACUAAAAAGGUUAUUCAAGCUAUUUGCCACAUGGUUUUCUGGUGCAUUUGGAGGUGUCAAAAUGAAGCGGUUUUAAAUCAAGGGCAAAUCUCGAUGCAAGAGAUUAUGGGAGAUGUAAAGGGGCUGUCAUUUUUGUUGAUUAAAGCGCAUCCCAAACAGUUGAACUUAGAUUGGGAUAUAUGGGGUAGUUUUAAUGUUCAUAGAGUUAGGUGGUAGUGCUUGAAUGUAACAUGUAUUGUAUCUGAUGUACUAUUUUUGUAUAAGCUAGCAACCUGCUAGCUUUUUGGUUUGCAAAUAAAUUGAUUGGCAAUU